AACGAACGCUGGCGGCAGGCCUAACACAUGCAAGUCGAGCGGACCUUUCGGGGUCAGCGGCGGACGGGUGUGUAACGCGUGGGAAUAUGCCCUUCUCUACGGAAUAGUCCUGGGAAACUGGGGGUAAUACCGUAUACGCCCUUUGGGGGAAAGAUUUAUCGGGGAAGGAUUAGCCCGCGUUGGAUUAGGUAGUUGGUGGGGUAAUGGCCUACCAAGCCGACGAUCCAUAGCUGGUUUGAGAGGAUGAUCAGCCACACUGGGACUGAGACACGGCCCAGACUCCUACGGGAGGCAGCAGUGGGGAAUCUUAGACAAUGGGGGCAACCCUGAUCUAGCCAUGCCGCGUGAGUGAUGAAGGCCUUAGGGUUGUAAAGCUCUUUCAGCUGGGAAGAUAAUGACGGUACCAGCAGAAGAAGCCCCGGCUAACUCCGUG
rnacentral:rRNA from 1 species